rnacentral:rRNA from 1 species
CCUACGGGAGGCAGCAGUAGGGAAUAUUCGGCAAUGGGGGGAACCCUGACCGAGCAACGCCGCGUGAACGAAGAAGUAUUUCGGUAUGUUAAGUUUUUUUAGUGGAGAAGAAAGAGCAAUUUCACGGUAACCAAUGAGUAUGCUCGGGCUAACUACGUGCCAGCAGCCGCUGUAAUCCGCAGGGAUCGAGCGGUAUCCGGAAUUAUUGGGCGUAAAGGGUGCGUUGAUGGUGGAUAUAAGUCGUUGGUAAAAAUGCUAGGCUCAACCUAGUAGAGCAAAAGAUACUGGUGAACUAGAGUACGGCAGAGGCAAGUGGAACUAGAGGUGUAGCGGUAAAAUGCGUAAAUAUAUGUAAGAACUCCGGUGGCGAAGGCGGCUUGCUGGGGCGGGACUGACAUUGAGGCACGAAAGCGUGGGGAGCGAACAGGAUUAGAUACCCCAGUAGUC